rnacentral:lncRNA from 1 species
GCGGCUGAACCUGAUGCUCUGCUGUCAAUCCUGUCUGAAGGACCUCCGAAUAUUCCCUCUGAGAAGCCGCCAGUUGUGUAUGGUUCUAGUUCUUCUACAGUGGAGAAACCGAGCGCACAGGUGAGCAUGCCCAGGUAAGCACAAGGAGUGAGUCAAUCAGGGUUUGCAGGUCAACUUUCUUUCCAAGCUAUGCCUAGAGCUUACAUGCUAAGGAAGUUGCCUGUAACGGGAAAGUUCCUGGGUAAUAUUCUCACUCGGGUGGUCAUUUUGCAUAGCACAAUGUCCCUAUGUCUAGAUGCGGUGCCUUGAGGAGCUCAAGGAAAAUACCUUGAUCGGGUCUCCCUUUGCCCAAGAAAUUCAUGACAAGUCUAUCCCCCUCAACUUUCGCCUCUCGACGUUGGAGACCUACGAUAGUUAUGCAGGCGUUCUUGACGGGUCUACGACCUUCAAGGUUUUUUUGGUCGCUGGUCGAGAGACCACCAGCGAUCGUUCCCGAGAUGCUCCAACGAGCCAACCAGUAUGUUGCGACAGAGGCACUAGUGGCAAGAAAGCACAAGGAGUCGCACAAGAGACCCCGUCAAGAGCUACCCAUGUGAGCAGAUCGGGGAAAGAAGAAGACCCACCACGACAUGACCAAAAGAAGAGCCCAAGAUGUGCAGAUCAAAAAAAGAAAAAGAAAAAAAGAGGAGGUGUUUCCCAAGAUGUUUAGCCAAUGCCUGAGCUACGUUGCUCGGCUAGUCCAAUCCCCAGUGCCCGAGCAAUGUUGCUCGACCAGUCAUGUAUAAUCAGUUGCUACUCAGUUCGUUCAAUGCUCGAGCUACGUUGCCCGGCCAAUCCAGUCCCCAGUGCCCGAGCAGUGUUGCUCGGCCAAGCCAAUGCUCGAGCUACGUUGCUCGGUCAAUCCAAUCCCCAAUGCCCGAGUAGUGUUGCUCGACCAAGCCAAUGCUCGAGCUACGUUGCUCGGUCAAUCCAAUCCCCAAUGCCCGAGUAGUGUUGCUCGACCAAUCCAGUCCCCAAUGCCCGAGCAGUGUUGCUCGGUCAGUCAUGUGCAAUCAGUCAUUGCUCGGUUCGUUCAAUGCUUGAGCUACGUUGCUCGGCUAGUCCAGUCCCCAAUGCUGCUCGAGUAGCGCAGCUCGGUUUUGUCAUGUGCAGCAAGUCACUGCUUAGUUCAGUCAUGUGCAGCAAAUCGCUGCUCGGUUCAGUCGAGAUUUAAGCAAUUGCUCGGCCAAACAUGGGCCCGAGUGAUGUUGCUCGGCCAAGCUAAUGCUGCUCGAGCAACGCAACUCGAUUCUAUCAUGCACAGCAAGUCGCUACUCGGUUCAAUCGAUGUCCGAGCAGUUACUCGGCCAAACAUUGGCCCGAGUUAUGCUGCUCGGCCAAGCCAGCGCCCGAGCCACGUUGCUCGACCAAGCCAAUCCCCAGUCAAAUGCCUGAGCCACGCCUUGCAGUCCAACGUUCAAGUCACGCCCCAGCCAGUCCAAACUCCCGAGCCGCGCCUCCCGGCCAAUCCAAUGUCCGAGGCACGUCUCGGCCAGUCCGAUGCCCGAGCCACGCCUCGCGGCUAGUCCAAUGUCCAAGUCACGUGCCCAAGUAGUGUAGCUCGGCUAGUCUAGCGCUCGAGUAGUGUUGCUCAGCCAGCCCAGUCCUUGAGUUAUGUCGCUCGACCAGUCCAGCUCCCGAUCAAUCGAUGACCGAACCACUAGUCCCAUCACGACAACCAACCCAACCAACAAAAGGCACCAAGCCAUGCCCCGAGCCCCCCCACACGGAACCCGGGGCAUGCCUCUUUGGGGGGGGGGGGGAAGGAGGGGGGAGAAUGAUAUGGCAUAUUUUGACAUUGUCCACGUGGACCCAGGUAAGCAAACACGACAAUGCAAACGUGGAACCUCAAGUACGAUGUGGCGCACAGCACACACGUGGUAGGUAGCUGCUUGCCGCCCCCUCCGUACGAACGACAUCAUCACGGUACAACCGUCCCGGAAAGCUCAGGGUGACUACGAGUGGCACCGAUCCGUGCAAGUCGGUCGGCGCUCGUACAAAAGCUAAAGUCGACUGCCCGAGGAGCCGACCGUAGUUAAUUAACCCUAUACGACUAACUCAUCCUCGCAGGUAUAAAAGCUAACCCUCCUUAAUCAGGAGGGAGAGGACUUCAGAUACUCAACUCUCGCUCAUUUUACCUUAAGCUUCAGAGGGGUCGAGUCGAGAAAUCCCCCUCCCGACCUCGACCUGUGUACAGGAGUCCAGCGACGGAGAAGCAAGCCACUCAUCAAGAGAGAAGACCGCGCUCGGGGGAUGAGGCUUGAACCCAACCCGACUUACGCUCGCCCUCACCACCCGAGUAUUCACGUGGGCAACCUUGUACAUCUAGGACUAGACCGAGCCCCUUGCUGACACCUUGAUCAAUGCGUAAAGGUUCACCGACAAAUAACCCAGUUUGAAAAGUAGAUUUACUGUGUAUGUGAGUACCCCAGUUUGGUUAGUCCCAAAAUGCUUGUGGUCUAUACUUUUGAUUCUAAAUCGGUCACAAGUCACCUUCAAAUUUUAACUACUCCUUUUUGGGCAUAGCCUAAGUUUGUUAUAUUAGGGUUGUGACAACAGAUGGCGUUCUUAUCACCACUUUUACAAAAAAGCAUAUGUUCAAUUCCCUUACCUGGAAAAGACUCGUUCAAGCCAAAUCAUCCCAUUUUUGACACAAACAGCCGACUAGAGAACUGAAUAUUCCACUUGUAUAAUGACUAUCACUAUAUCCAGUACGAGAGAUAACUUUCUCCGACUCUUUAUUGAACAGGUAAGGUUGGUGGUUUAAACUUUAAACCUUACAUCAUCAUACAAUAGUCGUCACACAUUGUUCUGCCACAGUCUACGAUAACUAUAUUCAAAUAGUUCUAAUGACUAAUUUAUUGAGCUAGAUACAAAUAAAUGAUCCAAAGAUUUAUAGGCACCAAGAAUUUGAUUGAUUAAAAAAUUCAUUGAUUUUGUAUGAAAAGGCAGUGCCACAGAGAUGACAAAAAAGCCAUUGUCUAGAAGACUGGCUGGAAAUGAAUUUCAAUAAGAGUACAAAAUAAAUUUAGACUAGCUAAUUUUUCUCAGUGAUCAUGUAACAGUGCUCUUGUCUAACCUUUAAAACUAAUGUUACUGCAUAUGUAGCAUCCCACCAAUUCGAUUAGUCUCACAAUGCUUGUGGUCUAAACUUUUAAAUGAGUUACAACUCACUGACAAGUGGUCGGUCGGUUACACCAUUUAGGGGCAGCAUAGUCUACACGAGGUUAGAUUAUAGUUGUGACAACACAAGUCACACUAUCCAUUACAGAAAGCAUAUAAUUGGUUUAUAUAAGCGAUAUUAGGUUCGUAUGACAGGUAUCACUAAAUCCAGCAAGAGGGAUUUGAUGUACACAACAUAAUUAUUUUAUGCAUCCUUGAACUGCAAUUUUAUUAGUCUAUUUUGCAAUGAUUUCAUUUACUAUAACAUUUACUACAUUAUCUUAUCAAUUAAAAAAAAACAUCAAAGAAUCUUUUAAGCAUCGCAAAUUUCUUUCAAUAGACAUGCCUUGUUUUAUUAUUUUUAAUGAAAAUAUCCACAAAUCCUGUCACUACUGACUUAUUCUAAUUGUCAUCAAAGCAAAAUCAUGAUUGCAACUUGUGCCACUCUCUCAUUAAUAAAAGAAAGCUCCUAUUGUUUUCAUUGUCCUAGUUAGAAAAUCUCACUAAGAAGAAAAAGGUAUCAACAGUUCAAAUGUCUCACGAUCAUAUAAUGCAGGUGAGACAAGUUACACGCUGCAGCACAAUAUUUCUGGUGACAUUGAAUUACUUCUUCUUUAAUAAAUCAUUGGCUUAUAUGUCGAUCGUUAUAAUUAAUUUUAUUUUUUGCUAAUGUUUCAAGACACAAAUGGUGCCAUUUUCACUCUCUAAUACCAUAGAAAAGGCAUCAUUAAGUGAUUGGAAAAGGCCAAAAAAAAUUGCCACCACAUCUUCCUCGACAACAAUUCCUAAGUCCACUAAAUCAUAAUAAAGAAUGAGUUGAAAUUUCUGCAUGAUAACCUCUCUCAAAUUCAACCUACAAUUGUAUGUUUUAAGAUAGUUAUAAAGAGAAAUGAAUAAAAUGGAGAGAACAGUGACACGAACAAAUUCUUGACAUGUAAAUCAAUCAAUAUAGGCAUGCAGUUGUAAAGAAUCACCACAAUAAAGCAUAUUGGCAACAAUCAAACGAGAAUAUAAUCUACUAACAACUUUGAAACUAAAAAGGAUGAUGGCUCCCUUACCACUGUCGGCUCUUUAGAUCAUGCUCCAUGGGCAUCAGGAAUGUCCCUGCCAAAAGCCUUCCUACGCCAUCCCGUUGGCGCCGUUCGAGUGCUGGCCGGUGAUGCCACAAUUCCUAAUUCCACCAGAUCUUUCUCAAAGAGGGCCCGGCUCCACCAUCCCGGACGCCAGAUCUAAAGAAACCCUAGGGUUCAAGAUUGCAACCGGCUCCUCCUCCGUUCUCUUUGCCUCGGAAUCGGACCGAUCCCACACCAACCUCGCGCGGGAGGGACGAGAUACAUGGCGAAAGGUCCCCAGAACCCUUGGGAUCUAGGAAGGUACAGAUCGAAACCCUCGAAAUCGAUCCGAGGUGACGCAACACGAAGGAGGGCUUGGGGGUCAAGAAACAGAGCAUACCGCCCAAAGCCGAACAGGAUACCGGAAUCAAGAAACGAGAAUACCGCUCGGAACCGAAUCGAUCUAUUUCGAACCCGCCGCCUUGGGUCCGACGUCGACGCAACGGAGAAGACGGCGUUGAGAGACCAAAAGGUCCCAAGAACCCUUGCGCCACCUUGAUCGUACGUUGGUCUCUGUCCGCCCUCCUUUCCGUUGAGUGACCGUCGGAUACAAGGCGGCGGGUUCGAAAAAGAUCUAUAUAUAUAUAUAUAUAUAUAUAUAUAUAUAUAUAUGUGUGUGUGUGUGUGUGUGUGUGUAUGU